UUUUUUUUGUUUUGAGAGUCAGAGUCUCGCUCCGUCGGCCAGGCUACAGUGCAGUGGCAUGAUCUCGGCUCACUGCAACCUCUGCCUCCUGGGUUUAAGCGUUUCUGGUGCCCCAGCCUCCAGAGUAGCUGGGAUUACAGGUGCCCGCCACCUCGCCCAGACAAUUUUUGUAUUUUUAGUAGAGACGGGGUCUCACUAUGUUGGCUAGGUUGGUCUUGAACUCCCGACCUCAAGUGAUCCACUCGCCUCGGCCUCCCAAAGUGUUGGGAUUACAGGCGUGAGCCACCGUGCCCAGGCUUUUCUAUCAUUCUCUCUGCAAGAUGGGACUGGGAGGACAAACGGCAAAAGCUGGUAUCAGGGCUUAUAGCUGGCCUUGGGCUAGGGAAGGAUGAGGGGCAACAUUUUCAUAGUAAUAAAUAUCAUUUUCAUGAUAGCUUCCACUUCUUAAGGACCUAUCAGUGGUUUUUAAACUGCCCUGCAGAGUUCUAGGAUUCCACGGACAGUCUCAGGAGCUGCAGUGAAUAGAGGGGGGACCAGCAGUUCACGUUCAGGGCUGCCUCCUCUGCUUCAAGCAGAUCAGUUUUGCUUUUACCUAAUAUAUUGAUCCUCUACAUAACAUUUUAUUUGAAAAGUAGUAUAUCUGUUAAAAAUGUUUGAACAUGUCUACAGGAGUAUUGGAUCAAAUUGAUAAUAUAAACAAAUACGUUUGUCCAGGUUUCUUCCUUUCCAAGCUUAGGAAAAGCAGAUAUGGGGAACAAGAGGCAGUCCCCAGUCAAUAUUCAGUGUGAUUUUUGUAAUGUUACAAUAGUAGGAACAAUUAGGCAGUUCCUCCCUUCAUUCUUCCACUUGUGCUAUGCAGCAAGCCGCAAAAGCAAUAUCCAGUGAAUGAGAACACUUGGGUAUUGCAAGCCGGGAGUACUCAGCAGGCAUAUAUACCACCAAAAGAAAGUGGGGGUUCCCAUGCCCAGAAGAUGAGCUGAUGACCCCCUUAGCUUGGUGGUAUGUCCUACCUCUCCUCUGUAACCACAGGAAGCAGAACACAAUACACAGAUAAGCACUCACAGACAGACAGACAGGCAGAUUAGCAGGUAACUAAAAAUGUAAACCUAAGGACACAACCAAGAAUCACUACACAUUUGAGGAAAACUGCAGAGGCGUUCCAGAAGGAGAGAAUGGUGGGAAUGGAUAGAGAGGGAAUAUACAAAGAAUAACAGAAUAAAAUCUCUUUUUUUCAUUUUUUUUGAGACGGAGUCUUACUUGUCGCCCAGGCUGGAAGUGAGACUCUGUCUCUAAAAUAAUAAAAAUCAUGAUUUCAUACGAAUACAUUAGAUUCCUAUUCAAUAUCAGAAUGUUCAUUUCAUCUGAAGGACUUUUAAAGACAGGUGUGUCCAAAGUUAAAUGUCUGGUUUAUGUGAAAGUACCCUUUCCAUCACUACAGCCUUUUAAUUGUGACCAAUAUACACACAAAUGGCUUGUGUGUAUGUCAAGGAAAAGGGGUCCCUGUCCAUGGCUAGAGCAAUAUAAUGCAGAAUAAGAAUAUGAGAUUGUGAGAUGACUUAUAAAUUACACUAGCUGAGCAAAGCAAAAGGUCUGAACCAAAGGUAAAUAGGAAAACGUAAGGCCCCCAUAAGGGACAGACAGCAUAUGUUCUGCCAUUUCUACUUUCUGUACCAAUGGCAGAUAUCAACAAAUGACCACCACACACUGACUGACUAAGCAAAAACAUGGCUCCAAAUUUUCAGACAUGCAUUUCAGACAGCCACUACUAAGCAACUGGAAUUCACACUGUAGAUGACUCCUAUCCCUAGGUUAAACAAAUGAAGAGCUCAUGUAAACCAUAUUAGCUGGGAGAGGAGGGAGAACAUUAUCCGUCAUUAGAUUUUUGCACAAAUUACAGAAAAAGCCUGACACAACGUGGUCAAUGAUGUUCAAAAAUUCAAUGACAUGAGGCCAGUUCCUAGGGUUUGGCUCAUGAUACAAGGUUUCAUAUCACCUGGUGGCCAGUUCUUCAUUUUAGUUUAGAUAUCAGUGGGACAGACUGUUAACCAUGUGCGUAGCUGAGAUUUCCAGGUCAGCAUAGUGACUCCAGGCAUCUUCCAAUUGAAUGGGACUUGUUUCUAUGACCGAUCCUAAGAGAAUGGAAUGGAUAACAUUGUGGACACAGGACCCACCCUCCAUAUUCCUACUUACUAAGAUGGAGUUGCUGCUGUUUCUCUCCCCUCUGGGAUUCUCUCUACCUUCCAUGUCAAGCCUCUCCUGUGCAAAUUUAGCUCACCCCAAUUGAAGAAAUAUGUUGAGUAGAGAAUGGGAGCCAAUCGCCAGUCAGGUUGUAUAUGAGUUUACAUGAUGGUGACGGUUUCUUAUACCUGGUAAGAGUAACCAGCAGAAAGCUGUGGCAUGAGCUAAUGGGAAAUAAGAGGGACAACUAUGAUGGAAAAAUGAUGAGGACAAUAGAGGAGGUAGGUACUCUG
rnacentral:lncRNA from 1 species